UACGGAGGGGACUAGCGUUGUUCGGAAUUACUGGGCGUAAAGCGCACGUAGGCGGAUUUGUAAGUCAGGGGUGAAAUCCCGGGGCUCAACCUCGGAACUGCCUUUGAUUACUGCAAAUCUCGAGUCCGGAAGAGGUGAGUGGAAUUCCUAGUGUAGAGGUGAAAUUCGUAGAUAUUAGGAAGAACACCAGUGGCGAAGGCGGCUCACUGGUCCGGUACUGACGCUGAGGUGCGAAAGCGUGGGGAGCAAACAGG
rnacentral:rRNA from 1 species